UACGGGGGGAGCAAGCGUUGUUCGGAUUUACUGGGCGUAAAGCGCACGUAGGCGGAUCGUUAAGUCGGGGGUGAAAUCCUAGAGCUCAACUCCAGAACUGCCUUCGAUACUGGCGAUCUCGAGUCCGGAAGAGGUGAGUGGAACUCCUAGUGUAGAGGUGGAAUUCGUAGAUAUUAGGAAGAACACCAGUGGCGAAGGCGGCUCACUGGUCCGGUACUGACGCUGAGGUGCGAAAGCGUGGGGAGCAAACAGG
rnacentral:rRNA from 1 species